UACGAAGGGUGCAAGCGUUACUCGGAAUUACUGGGCGUAAAGCGCGCGCAGGCGGCUAUCCAAGUCAGUGGUGAAAGCCCGGAGCUCAACUCCGGAACUGCCAUUGAAACUGUUUAGCUUGAGGACGAGAGAGGUGAGUGGAAUUCCCAGUGUAGAGGUGAAAGUCGUAGAUAUUGGGAAGAACACCAGUGGCGAAGGCGGCUCACUGGCGCGUUUCUGACGCUCAGGCGCGAUAGCGUGGGGAUCAAACAGG
rnacentral:rRNA from 1 species